rnacentral:rRNA from 1 species
UACGGAGGGUGCAAGCGUUAAUCGGAAUUACUGGGCGUAAAGCGUGCGCAGGCGGUUUGUUAAGUCCGUUGUGAAAGCCCCGAGCUCAACUUGGGAAUUGCAGUGGAUACUGGCAGGCUGGAGUACGGUAGGGGAAGGUGGAAUUCCCGGUGUAGCAGUGAAAUGCGUAGAUAUUGGGAAGAACACCGGUGGCGAAGGCGGCGACCUGGUCCUUGACUGACGCUGAGGCGCGAAAGCGUGGGGAGCAAACAGG